rnacentral:rRNA from 1 species
UACGUAGGUGGCAAGCGUUGUUCGGAAUUACUGGGCGUAAAGGGCGCGUAGGCGGCCUUCUAAGUCAGACGUGAAAUCCCCCGGCUUAACCUGGGAACUGCGUCUGAUACUGGGAGGCUCGAGUGCGGGAGAGGGAUGCGGAAUUCCAGGUGUAGCGGUGAAAUGCGUAGAUAUCUGGAGGAACACCGGUGGCGAAGGCGGCAUCCUGGACCGACACUGACGCUGAGGCGCGAAAGCUAGGGUAGCAAACGGG